rnacentral:lncRNA from 1 species
AAUUUACUUGAUGAGUAUGUUGUUUCUUUAUGGGUGGAAGUUGGGUAUUAAAGAUUUGAGAAUGAGAAAUUGAGAUUUGAAUGAUAUGAUUUCAAGAAGUUGAUUUGAAUGAAUCUUUUAUUACAACUUUGAUCUUUGAAUCUUGAUUAAAUUACAUGAUGAAAGUUUGGUGGGAAUUGAUGGAUCUAUGAUGAAUUGAUGGUGGAAUUUCGUUUUUCUAUGUUGGUAUGUGUGGAAGGGAAGUUUUGAAUGAAUUUGGUUAUGAAAUUGGAUUGAAAACAUGGAAGUUUAUCUCACUUUGUCAUGAAGUGCGAAAAUAGUUUGUUUUGGUUGGUUGAUGAAUUUUAGAUGGAUGAAUUGAUUUGGUUUGUGUGAAUAUCUUGACAAGAUGGAAGUAUGAUGUGUUUUAAUAGAUUGAAUGAUGGGAAUGAUGAUGGGAAUUCAUUCUAAUAUGUUUGUACUUAUGAAUAUGAAGUUUUGGAUGAUUUGGUUCUUGAAAAGAGAUGAAAAACAUGGGAGUUUUACCUCACCUAUUUCCAAAUCCGAAAAUCAUGUGUUCUUAAACAAAUGAUGAACAUGAAUGAAAUGAAUGUGAAUUCUUCUUGUGAGAUCUUGGAUUGGAAAAGUUCUAUUCUUGGAUGAAGGCUUUUGAGCAUGUUUUGAUGGAAAAGAGAUGCUUUGAGUAUGAAAUGAACUCUAACUUGGAUUGGACAUUUGAUUUUCGUAUGUAUAUUAUAUGAUGAGUUGUUAUGGGAUUUUAAGAUGUCAAAAACCAUGAAAAUCAUGUAAAACAGAGAAGUUUGUUCAUGUAUAUCAUUGUAUACGAAAAUUUGAUGAUUUUGAUGGAUGUGGAAAUGAGAUUUACAAUAUGUAUGAGUUGUUGAGUACAUGAUCUAUGCUUGGAUGAGAUGAGUGGUGGAGACUACCCUUUUCCCUUUGAUUUUAUGAAAUUGGGAAGUGGUAUGUACAAACUGUUUUUGGAAUUGAUGCAGUAAAUUAUGGGGUUGCAUUAGUGUUUAAAAUCUUGAAGAAAAGGUUAAUUUUUGGUAAUGAAGGAUUGGUUGAAAGUUGUUUGAAAUUAUACAUGAAAAUGUUAUGUUAUCCACUUAAAGAGUUGGUUUUGUAAGAGUAAAUGGAUUAAUUGAUGUUUGUGGUUGUUUGUGGAGUGAUUUUAGACUCCAAAUAUGUUUGAGAACAUGUUAGAAGUGUUGAAUCUGUGCUAGAAAUCAAAUCUGGACGAAUCUGGGUGGAAAACCCGAAUCUGGUCGCUGUCAUGGCGCCCGAGCGCCCCUGGUCGCGCUCCAGCGCAACUGGAUGCACCAGCACUUUGCUGAAUUUGUUUUUGGAGGUUUUGGGGGUUACGGAUGUCCGUUUUGGACGUUCUUUAGGUCGUUCUGGAGGUUUUUGACCCUUCCGGAACCAUUGGUGAUGGUCUCCAAGCUGUUUGAGUUACCUAAGUUUCNGUAAUCAAUGUUGCCAUGAAGAAAGUUGUGAANUUGAUUGUGAAUNAUGGAUUAAGUGAUGUGGAAAUGAGUUGUAUGUGAAUAUACUUUGUUAAGUAUGGUUGUGGAUAACUAAGUAAGUUUAANUGAGAAUGAUGUGUCGAGAAAUACAUGGAAUGAAAUAUAUGUGAAAAUANUUUGUUAAGUAUGGUUGAGGAUAAUUAAACUGUAAGUUUAAUUGCGUUGAUAAGGAGAUGUAUGUGAAAUNCUUUGUUAAGUAUGAUUAAGGAUUAUUAGAUUGUGAUUGUGAAUUGAGUUUGGAGAUGAGUAUUCUCUUGAGUAUCCGCUACUUUGGUAAGUAGGCAAAACGAAUUGAUGAUAUGUUGAAUUGAUAUUAUGUUGAUUAUUAAUUGGUUGAGCAUGACUGGAAUGGGAUUGUUAGAUGAAAUGGAUUGUUAUUGAUUAUGUGUGAUAAGUUAUAAAAAUGUAACUUGGUUAAUCUAUGCUACUUCGGUAAGUAGAUAGAAUUGAAAUUGAGAAAUGUUGAUUGGUUAUUAUAUGCUUGUUGAGCAUGAUUGGUUUGGGAUUGGUUGUUGAGAUAACCUGAGAUUUGUUAUGAAUGAUAUGUUACAAAAAUGUAAUUUUGUGAAGCUGUGCUACUUUGGUAAGUAGACAAAAUGGAAUUGGGAAACAUUAAUUGAUUCUCAUAUACCCGUCGAUUAUGAUUGGUUUUGGAAUGGGUUGUGGUUAAUUAUGAAUAUUAUGUUAUAAUAUUGUAAAUUUUGUUGGUCUGCGCUACUUUGGUAAGUAGGCAGGAGUAUGUUGGUCUGCGCUACUUUGGUAAGUAGGCAGNUUGGUCUGCGCUACUUUGGUAAGUAGGCAGGAGUAUGUUGGUCUGCGCUACUUUGGUAAGUGGGCAGGGAGAUAUUGGUAUUACACUACUUUGGUAAGUAGGUUGAAGGAUUGGUACUACGCUACUUUGGUAAGUAGGUAGAAUAAUCUGACGACAUUCUACUUUGGUAAGUAGACAAGUGAAACGGGUACUGCGCUACUUUGGUAAGUAGGUCAAAAAAAAAAGAGAGGCUGUAACACUUUGAUAAGUGAGAUGAUAAUUCUUUUACUGAAGAAUAAUAUUGUUAUAUUAUGUUUAAUAGUGUGAUUAACUGUAUCGAACAUUGUAAAUAUAUUAUAAAGGACUGUGAAUGAUUUGUAUGUUUGUGACAGUUAGCUCACCCUGUUGUUUGUGUUUGUGUGCAUGUGAAUGCGAUGAUCGUAUAAUGCGUGAUGUUAUACAG